rnacentral:rRNA from 1 species
UAGCCGUAAACGAUACUCGCUAGGUGUCGGCCACGGUGCGACCGUUGUCGGUGCCGUAGGGAAGCCGUGAAGCGAGCCACCUGGGAAGUACGGCCGCAAGGCUGAAACUUAAAGGAAUUGGCGGGGGAGCACCACAACGGGUGGAGCUUGCGGUUUAAUUGGAUUCAACGCCGGAAAUCUUACCGGGACCGACAGCAACAUGAAGGCCAAGCUGAAGACUUUGCCGGAUUAGCUGAGAGGAGGUGCAUGGCGUAGUCGUGU